GGGGCAAGGGGGUGCUAUAAUGCAAGUCGACGCGUUGGCCCAAUUGAUUGAUGGUGCUUGCACCUGAUUGAUUUUGGUCGCCAACGAGUGGCGGACGGGUGAGUAACACGUAGGUAACCUGCCCAGAAGCGGGGGACAACAUUUGGAAACAGAUGCUAAUACCGCAUAACAGCGUUGUUCGCAUGAACAACGCUUAAAAGAUGGCUUCUCGCUAUCACUUCUGGAUGGACCUGCGGUGCAUUAGCUUGUUGGUGGGGUAACGGCCUACCAAGGCGAUGAUGCAUAGCCGAGUUGAGAGACUGAUCGGCCACAAUGGGACUGAGACACGGCCCAUACUCCUACGGGAGGCAGCAGUAGGGAAUCUUCCACAAUGGGCGCAAGCCUGAUGGAGCAACACCGCGUGAGUGAAGAAGGGUUUCGGCUCGUAAAGCUCUGUUGUUAAAGAAGAACACGUAUGAGAGUAACUGUUCAUACGUUGACGGUAUUUAACCAGAAAGUCACGGCUAACUACGUGCCAGCAGCCGCGGUAAUACGUAGGUGGCAAGCGUUAUCCGGAUUUAUUGGGCGUAAAGAGAGUGCAGGCGGUUUUCUAAGUCUGAUGUGAAAGCCUUCGGCUUAACCGGAGAAGUGCAUCGGAAACUGGAUAACUUGAGUGCAGAAGAGGGUAGUGGAACUCCAUGUGUAGCGGUGGAAUGCGUAGAUAUAUGGAAGAACACCAGUGGCGAAGGCGGCUACCUGGUCUGCAACUGACGCUGAGACUCGAAAGCAUGGGUAGCGAACAGGAUUAGAUACCCUGGUAGUCCAUGCCGUAAACGAUGAGUGCUAGGUGUUGGAGGGUUUCCGCCCUUCAGUGCCGGAGCUAACGCAUUAAGCACUCCGCCUGGGGAGUACGACCGCAAGGUUGAAACUCAAAGGAAUUGACGGGGGCCCGCACAAGCGGUGGAGCAUGUGGUUUAAUUCGAAGCUACGCGAAGAACCUUACCAGGUCUUGACAUCUUGCGCCAACCCUAGAGAUAGGGCGUUUCCUUCGGGAACGCAAUGACAGGUGGUGCAUGGUCGUCGUCAGCUCGUGUCGUGAGAUGUUGGGUUAAGUCCCGCAACGAGCGCAACCCUUGUUACUAGUUGCCAGCAUUAAGUUGGGCACUCUAGUGAGACUGCCGGUGACAAACCGGAGGAAGGUGGGGACGACGUCAGAUCAUCAUGCCCCUUAUGACCUGGGCUACACACGUGCUACAAUGGACGGUACAACGAGUCGCGAACUCGCGAGGGCAAGCAAAUCUCUUAAAACCGUUCUCAGUUCGGACUGCAGGCUGCAACUCGCCUGCACGAAGUCGGAAUCGCUAGUAAUCGCGGAUCAGCAUGCCGCGGUGAAUACGUUCCCGGGCCUUGUACACACCGCCCGUCACACCAUGAGAGUUUGUAACACCCAAAGUCGGUGGGGUAACCUUUUAGGAGCCAGCCCGCCUAAGGUGAUCCU
rnacentral:rRNA from 2 species